rnacentral:rRNA from 1 species
UACAGAUGGAGCAAGCUUCCUGCGUUUUGAUUAGGUUUACAGCGUGUGGCAGCGUUUAUUGUUAUAGAAAGUUCCGUUAUAUGGUGGUUACAUCAUCCCCUGGCCUUAUACCUCGGGAGUAAACACUUCCGGGGGGGGUUAUUAUUACGGGUUUAAAAUGACGGGAUUAAAAAGGUAAAGGAAUUUUCCAUGAAUCGGUCAAAUGAUAGAAUAUGGGAAGGAACGCCAAAGGCGAAGGCAUUUACUAAACUAUAACAGAAGCCCAAACACGGAAGUCCGAGGAGCAAAACGG